CCUACGGGUGGCAGCAGUGAGGAAUAUUGGUCAAUGGACGAGAGUCUGAACCAGCCAAGUAGCGUGAAGGAUGACUGCCCUAUGGGUUGUAAACUUCUUUUAUAUGGGAAUAAAACGUUCCACGUGUGGGAUUUUGUAUGUACUAUAUGAAUAAGGAUCGGCUAACUCCGUGCCAGCAGCCGCGGUAAUACGGAGGAUCCGAGCGUUAUCCGGAUUUAUUGGGUUUAAAGGGAGCGUAGGUGGAUUGUUAAGUCAGUUGUGAAAGUUUGCGGCUCAACCGUAAAAUUGCAGUUGAAACUGGCAGUCUUGAGUACAGUAGAGGUGGGCGGAAUUCGUCGUGUAGCGGUGAAAUGCUUAGAUAUCACGAAGAACUCCGAUUGCGAAGGCAGUUCACUGGACUGCAACUGUCACUGAGGCUCGAAAGUGUGGGUAUCAAACAGGAUUAGAUACCCUUGUAGUC
rnacentral:rRNA from 1 species